UACGUAGGGUGCAAGCGUUGUCCGGAAUUAUUGGGCGUAAAGAGCUCGUAGGCGGUUUGUCGCGUCUGCUGUGAAAACUCAGGGCUUAACCCUGAGCCUGCAGUGGGUACGGGCAGACUAGAGUGUGGUAGGGGAGAUCGGAAUUCCUGGUGUAGCGGUGGAAUGCGCAGAUAUCAGGAGGAACACCGGUGGCAAAGGCGGGUCUCUGGGCCGAUACUGACGCUGAGGAGCGAAAGCGUGGGGAGCGAACAGG
rnacentral:rRNA from 1 species